UGCUCCCUGGCCAGGCGUGGGGCGGUGUAGGGCGUCUGUCCAGUGGAGGAGGCAAACAGGAAAGAGAAGGUGGCAAAAGUUGGUCGCAGUGAGGCCGCCCAGGCAGUCAGUGGUGUGGAAGUGUUCUUGUGCAGUCUGAGAACAUGGGAGUGAAUCAGUGAAACACCACCUUAAAGAUUAAGUGAAGUUUUCCUCCCUAGCAACCACAAGUGGCAUGUUUACUGAGUGAAAACAGGACAUUUUGGAGCAAGGCUGUCCUGGUGUUUGAGGUGUUUUUUCUUAGCUGAAGAAGUUCUUGUCAGAUGGAAGCACUGAUCUCCUGAGCUUCCAUCUUAUGGAAGAGGUGGAAACUGCAUCAGUCUCCUAUUUCCAUUUUUUUUUCUUCUGCUAAAAGCUUCCCCACUCCAUCCUACACUUGACAAGUCCCUGCUUAUUCCUUUCUUCUGACUUGAUUUGGAGACUUGAAGGACUGCUUUACAUCAGGGGAGCUUCAGGCCCCAUGUAGAGAAGUUGCAGCAGAGCAGCGCUGAUGGACAGGAUUGCUGCUUGUGCCUUGCUCACUGCAGUCCCCGUUCCCCUAUGAGGAACUGCAGAGAGUUGCUGUUUCUCAGGACAGCGAGUGAGAAUGGAGUCCUGGAGCCCUCUGGUGGAGGCAUGUAGAAAAGAAGACAGCUGAAAAUGAUCUUGUUCUGCUAAGGAAGCCUCAAGCUUGACUUCUGAGGAGUGUUCAGGAACUAUUUUGUUGAGUUCCAAUUAAGAACUGUUUCUGACACCAGGAGAUGCGGAGGUCAAAGAGUGCCCUGAGCAGUAUAGCAGUAGACCACAUGGAGCAUAGAUAAAAGGUAAGAAAAUGGCAUAAUUGUUAAACAGAUCAGAACAUUCUUGAAGACAUGAAAGGACUCUGAAUUUG
rnacentral:lncRNA from 1 species